rnacentral:lncRNA from 1 species
CUGCCAUAGUGGAAGUUUCUCAAGAGGCUUGGCCUCUGCAGGAGGCUUCUGCCUGGAAACAGUGGGCGGUGGUGUGGGUGCAGGAUCUUCUUGAUGCUGAUCUCCUGAUAGUGAGACCUCAUGUGAUCUGGUUGUCUAACAGGGUGUGGUACCUCUUUCCUCUCUCUGUCUUGCUCCUACCCCUGCCAUAUGAAACAUCUCAUUGCCACUUGGCCUUCUGGUAUGAUUAGGAAGGGCCUGGUCAGUGUGGGCCUGGUCAGUGAACUAGUCAGUUGGGACUUGGUCAGUGAGGCCUAUUUACUGGGGGAAUGGUCAGCCAGGGUCUGCUUAGAGAGGGUCUCAUUAGAGGGAUCGAGUAGUGCAGGUCUUGGUGAGUGGGGACCUAGUGGCAGACAAAUGUUUGGUGUCUGGUCAGUGCAAACCUGGGCUGCAGGGCUUGGUGAGUGGAGACCUGGUCAGCUGUGGCUUAGUGGUAGCCUUGUCAGAAUGGGCUGGGUCACUGGUGACCCGGUCAAGGGGUGCUAUUCAGUGGAGGCCUGGUCACAUGGCACCUAGUCAGCAGGGCAUGUCCUCAUCAGUGAGACCCUUGUCAGUGGGACCCUGGUCAUGGCAGCCUGGUCAGCAAAAAUAUCAGAUCGGCUGCACAGAAAAAUGGCUCAAAGUGCUUAAUGACCAGAAGAAAUCUGGGAGUAGCAAGAAGAGGUCUCAGGUGCUCUACAAGGGAGUCCCAUUUCAGGUGUGGGGCUGGGUAUGGUCACUCCUGCUGGAUGUCUAGAAGGUGAAAACCAAGGACCUAGGAAAAUACCAGAUACAGCCUUUCCACCGUCAUCCAGAGCAGGACAAACACGCCAGGUGGUGUCAGGAGCCCAGGUCUCCAGCUGGAGGGAAUGUCAACCCUGCAGUGGGAGCCCAUCAUGCAUCCUAGGCACAGAUGCUAACGUAGGCACCGCAGGAAUCCCAGUGAAUAUAUUGCCACCAUCUUGGAGCUCAGUGCCCUCAUAGUGUAACAGCACCAGCAGAUCUGCCUGUGCACAGACUUCCUGUACUACCUCACUCCUGAGGGGAGAUGCUUCUGCAGGGCCUGCGACCUGGUGCACAACUUUAGACACCAUCAUCCUGGAGCGGCACUGCACCCUCACUAGCCAGGGUGUUGAUGACUUCCUCAAUGCCAAGGCCACGUUCAAGAUUUUCGACUUCAGUGAUGCGUUUGUGCUGAGCAAGGUGGGCUUCUCCGGGAUCUUAAUUCAGGAGGUAGAAUGCAGCUUGAGAUCUAGUGUCUGAUCAAAGAACUUGAACUUGACCUGGAGGGCUCUGGGGAGCCAUGGAAGGUGCUGGAUAAAGGAAGGGACAGUCAUAUAUAUUUUAGAGAUGACUGUGGAAGGCUGCCUGGAAGGAGUGAACAAGAGCCAGGAGACCAGGGAGGGAGUUUGUGGGGCAGGUCUGGAGAUGGCAAGGGAGGGAUCCUGCUUGGAUGAAAGGUCUUCAGGGACUGUCUCAGGUUACACUCAGGUGCCCUCAGAGCUACUGUGUUCAGGGUUCUUGUCUCCAGGAUGAAAAUAAGGAGGAGUUGUCAGACAAGGACAUAUACAUGGAGGCUGGCAUCUUCAUGAGUGCCAAUCGUGGUCCUGGUGUGGACUACUGUGGGAGCAGGGGUCUCUCCAUCCAGGGACAUGGUGGAUGGACCCUACAUCACUCCAUUCUGCCCUUCCUUUCCCUCCCAUUCUCCUGAGGGACUCAAUGCAUGGGCACUGUCCAACCUCUGGUGCUGAAGCAGCCAAGAGACCCAAGCCUGCCUUGCUGCCACUUAGGAUAUGACAGCACAGCCAGUGGCCUCUACUGGAUCCUGGUACCCCUCAGAAGACACCCAGACACUGGGAGUGCUGCCACCUCGUGGUGCAAGAGUUCUGAGGGACGGCAAUUCUGAAGACAUUGAAUGCCGUUUUGCACACCCUGGUCAGAAUGAAACAUUCCUUGGGAACUCGGGCCGUGAGAAGCAUCCUUCCUGAUCACCUGACUGUAGAAACAUCCUUAUCGCACCCUCCCGGG